rnacentral:lncRNA from 1 species
CGCUCCCACGUUCGUGGAGACGAGUGUCGCCCUGGGACCCAGCAACUCCGCUCCUACAUUCACACCAAAGAGAAACGAAGACAUCUGUUCACACAAAUACUGGCCCAGGAAUGUCCGUGGCACCACUGUUCACAACAGCCAAAAGGUGGAGAUGACCCAAAUGUCCAUCAACAGAUGAGUGAAGAAACGAAACGUGGUCCAUCCACAUGAGGAAACAUCAUUCAGCCGUAAAAAGGUAUGAAGAGGCCGGGUGUGGUGGCUCAUGCCUGUCAUCCCAGCACUUUGGGAGGUCGAGGCAGGCGCCUCACCUGAGGUCAGGAGUUCGAGACCAGCGUGACCAACAUGGUGAAACCCUGUCGCUACUAAAAAUACAAAAAUUAGCUGGGCGUGAUGGUGCACGCCUGUAAUCCAGCUACUCGGGAGGCUGAGGCAGGAGAAUCACUCGAACCAGGGAGGCGGAGGUUGCAAUGAGCCGAGAUCAAGCUACCGCACUCCAGCCUGGGGGACAAGAGCGAGACUCCGUCUCAAAAAAAAAAAAAAAAAAAGGAAUGAAGCACUGAUAGACCCUCUCCCAUGGACGAACAUGGAAGGAAGACAUGAUGCUCAGUAAACACGCUGGUCACAAAGGCCACACCCUGCAGGGCUCCAUUCACAUGAAACAUCCAGGACAGGCCAGUCCACAGACACAGACAGCAGAUGGGUGGAUACCGGGGAAGGGGGGGUGCUGUGGGAAGGAGGAUGGGGAGCAAUUACUUAAUGAGUGCACGGUGUUUUUAAGGGGUGAUGAAAGAGUUUUGAAACUAGACAGCUGGUGGUGGACAACAACGUGAGCACGUCCAGUGCUGCUGAGCUGCCCUCUACCGUAACCGUGUGCUACAA